UACGGCCAUACCACCCUGAACACGCCCAAUCGCGUCUGAUCUCAGAAGCUAAGCAGGGUUGGCCCUGUUUAGUACUUGGAUCGGAGAGGAAGAACUCAAGAAAAAGCAGUAA
rnacentral:rRNA from 1 species